GACGAACGCUGGCGGCGUGCCUAAUACAUGCAAGUCGAACGAGAGCGACCGGUGCUUGCACUGGUCAAUCUAGUGGCGAACGGGUGAGUAACACGUGGGUAACCUGCCCAUCAGAGGGGGAUAACAUUCGGAAACGGAUGCUAAAACCGCAUAGGUCUUCGAACCGCAUGGUUUGAAGAGGAAAAGAGGCGCAAGCUUCUGCUGAUGGAUGGACCCGCGGUGCAUUAGCUAGUUGGUGAGGUAACGGCUCACCAAGGCCGUGAUGCAUAGCCGACCUGAGAGGGUGAUCGGCCACAUUGGGACUGAGACACGGCCCAAACUCCUACGGGAGGCAGCAGUAGGGAAUCUUCCGCAAUGGACGCAAGUCUGACGGAGCAACGCCGCGUGAGUGAAGAAGGUUUUCGGAUCGUAAAACUCUGUUGUUAGAGAAGAACAAGUGCUAGAGUAACUGUUAGCGCCUUGACGGUAGCUAACCAGAAAGCCACGGCUAACUACGUG
rnacentral:rRNA from 1 species